GUGGGGAAUAUUGGACAAUGGGCGAAAGCCUGAUCCAGCCAUGCCGCGUGUGUGAAGAAGGUCUUCGGAUUGUAAAGCACUUUAAGUUGGGAGGAAGGGCAGUAAGUUAAUACCUUGCUGUUUUGACGUUACCGACAGAAUAAGCACCGGCUAACUUCGUGCCAGCAGCCGCGGUAAUACGAAGGGUGCAAGCGUUAAUCGGAAUUACUGGGCGUAAAGCGCGCGUAGGUGGUUUUGUAAGUUGGAGGUGAAAUCCCCGGGCUCAACCUGGGAACUGCCUCCAAAACUGCAUGACUAGAGUACGGUAGAGGGUAGUGGAAUUUCCUGUGUAGCGGUGAAAUGCGUAGAUAUAGGAAGGAACACCAGUGGCGAAGGCGACUACCUGGACUGAUACUGACACUGAGGCACGAAAGCGUGGGGAGCAAACAGGAUUAGAUACCCCGGUAGUCC
rnacentral:rRNA from 1 species